GAAGUGGUGGUUUAGUAAUAGAAUCCUUGCCUUCUAUACAGGAGACCUGAGUUCGAUUCCCAGCCAAUGCU
rnacentral:tRNA from 1 species